rnacentral:rRNA from 1 species
UACGGGGGGGGCAAGCGUUGUUCGGAAUUACUGGGCGUAAAGGGCGCGUAGGCGGCCUGCUAAGUCGAACGUGAAAUCCCCGGGCUCAACCCGGGAACUGCGUCCGAUACUGACAGGCUUGAAUCCGGGAGAGGGAUGUGGAAUUCCAGGUGUAGCGGUGAAAUGCGUAGAUAUCUGGAGGAACACCGGUGGCGAAGGCGGCAUCCUGGACCGGUAUUGACGCUGAUGCGCGAAAGCCAGGGGAGCAAACGGG